GGAAUCUUGCGCAAUGGGCGAAAGCCUGACGCAGCAACGCCGCGUGCGGGAAGAAGGCUUUCGGGCUGUAAACCGCUUUCAGUAGGAACGAAACUGACGGUACCUACAGAAGAAGGAGCGGCCAACUAUGUGCCAGCAGCCGCGGUGACACAUAGGCUCCAAGCGUUGCCCGGAUUUAUUGGGCGUAAAGAGCUCGUAGGCGGUUGAGUAAGUCGGGUGUGAAAACUUUGGGCUUAACCCAAAGAUGCCACUCGAUACUGUUCAACUUGAGUUUGGUAGGGGAGUGGGGAAUUCCUUGUGUAGCGGUGAAAUGCGCAGAUAUAAGGAGGAACACCGGUGGCGAAGGCGCCACUCUGGGCCAAUACUGACGCUGAGGAGCGAAAGCGUGGGGAGCAAACAGGAUUAGAUACCCUGGUAGUCCACGCGGUAAACGGUGGUCACUAGGUGUGGGUCUCUAACCAAUGAGAUCCGCGCCGUCGCUAACGCAUUAAGUGACCCGCCUGGGGAGUACGGUCGCAAGACUAAAACUCAAAUGAAUUGACGGA
rnacentral:rRNA from 1 species